CAGCGGGAUCAAUAAAUAGAUAUUUGGGGAUUAUGCUCUAUCAACUCGCAGUUUCAAAGCAGUGCUCCUGUUUUUUCAAUUUCAUGACCUGGCAAUUUCAUUCUGUCAUAAUAGGGUAUCAUGCCCUUCGUGUAUCUUAUUAUUAUAGUUGAUUGUGUCGUGCUGCGUGAAAUUGUACUGUUUGUUUGUGAACUAUUACAAAGAUGUUUCUGUCGCAAGAGAACCUGGCUGAAGAAAUCCGGCAACAAGCCGCUUCUAUAGGUGCCUAAUGCGAGAAAAAUUCCGCUAAGUGAAAGUUCUGGACGCGGAGUUUGUAAAUACCACGCUGCAUAUUUCCACAUCCACGACGAAAUAGCUGUAGGACCCUGUUCAAUAAGGCAGAUUAUCAAGAUGAAGUGGGCCGGGACCAAAUGGAUGCCUGUUUCUCAGCAAGCGGUGUCCAACUGCUAAAUUACCCCGGUCUUAUCAGUAUGGGCUAUCAUUAAAGCCGGGGGUUUUCGAUGCACACAUGUGACCCUUCAUGGGCCAUAGGAAUAUGAAGACCGCUUCUUGUAUAUCUUUUCCAUCACGGAACAAUGGUGUUCCGGACCUUUGGGAGGCGUGCGCGGAGCCGUAGGCAACACAUACGGGAUCAUAUCAAUUACGUGGACAAGUCGUAUGGUGGGACAACCUACGACCCCUUUAUAUGGAGCAACAGCGUUAGUCGAGAUUACUUCGAGCAGCUGGCAUGUGUGGCACCAGCGAAAUAGUGUACAUUA